GUUCAGUCGCGUCCCAGACGUCUAGAGAGAAGGUUGUGUGUCUCUCACUCAUUGCUUCAAUUUUGUCACGGUGAACUAUACACAAUGCAGUGGGAUCAUUCAAAAGGAUGUGCAGUGCGCUGACAUUGACCAAAUGGACUGCCGCCUGGACUUCACCGUGGACUGUGUCAACUUUGCUGGACUUGAAGAUUAUGUGCGUGAGGUGAAGAGGGAAGGACUUCAUCAUCAUCCUGGACCCGGCCAUCAACGCUGAGAUGGGUGAGGAGUACCUGGUGCACAAGAGAGUGAGGGACAAGGACAUGUAUAUCACCUGGCCGCCUCACCUGGUGCCCCAACACAAUUUUGGUGCUGGGGACGUCAUGCU